UACAACGUAAAUUCCAAAUAAGUACAUAAUUUGACUGUUUUUGCUGUAGUUGCCGAACCGACCUCAAGCAUGUGCCAAAAGUAACAUAAAUAAACGGCGACAGUCUUAAAUACAUGUCCAUUAAAAUCGCAACGAGGACACAACGGGAAAUCGUCCAUGUUUUUUGGCCAUCCAUUCAGAAGUCCUGACUUUGGAGGCUUUUGUUUUUCCAUCUUCCUGCAGGUCGUUUUUUUGUCAACGCUACUUAAAUACAGCUUCUGUUUUAAGCGAUCAUGUCCGCAUUGAAUUGAAUGCGUUUUGGAAAAGAAUGUCAGGUUCUCUCGAAGGUUCAGUGCAAAAUGAAUCCUGAGCGAAG